CUUGGUGGAUCAGUGGCGAACGGGUGAGUAACACGUGAGCAACCUGCCCUGGACUCUGGGAUAAGCGCUGGAAACGGUGUCUAAUACUGGAUAUGAGACGUGAUCGCAUGGUCGUGUUUGGAAAGAUUUUUCGGUCUGGGAUGGGCUCGCGGCCUAUCAGCUUGUUGGUGAGGUAAUGGCUCACCAAGGCGUCGACGGGUAGCCGGCCUGAGAGGGUGACCGGCCACACUGGGACUGAGACACGGCCCAGACUCCUACGGGAGGCAGCAGUGGGGAAUAUUGCACAAUGGGCGAAAGCCUGAUGCAGCAACGCCGCGUGAGGGAUGACGGCCUUCGGGUUGUAAACCUCUUUUAGCAGGGAAGAAGCGAAAGUGACGGUACCUGCAGAAAAAGCGCCGGCUAACUACGUGCCAGCAGCCGCGGUAAUACGUAGGGCGCAAGCGUUAUCCGGAAUUAUUGGGCGUAAAGAGCUCGUAGGCGGUUUGUCGCGUCUGCUGUGAAAUCCCGAGGCUCAACCUCGGGCCUGCAGUGGGUACGGGCAGACUAGAGUGCGGUAGGGGAGAUUGGAAUUCCUGGUGUAGCGGUGGAAUGCGCAGAUAUCAGGAGGAACACCGAUGGCGAAGGCAGAUCUCUGGGCCGUAACUGACGCUGAGGAGCGAAAGGGUGGGGAGCAAACAGGCUUAGAUACCCUGGUAGUCCACCCCGUAAACGUUGGGAACUAGUUGUGGGGACCAUUCCACGGUUUCCGUGACGCAGCUAACGCAUUAAGUUCCCCGCCUGGGGAGUACGGCCGCAAGGCUAAAACUCAAAGGAAUUGACGGGGACCCGCACAAGCGGCGGAGCAUGCGGAUUAAUUCGAUGCAACGCGAAGAACCUUACCAAGGCUUGACAUAUACGAGAACGGGCCAGAAAUGGUCAACUCUUUGGACACUCGUAAACAGGUGGUGCAUGGUUGUCGUCAGCUCGUGUCGUGAGAUGUUGGGUUAAGUCCCGCAACGAGCGCAACCCUCGUUCUAUGUUGCCAGCACGUAAUGGUGGGAACUCAUGGGAUACUGCCGGGGUCAACUCGGAGGAAGGUGGGGAUGACGUCAAAUCAUCAUGCCCCUUAUGUCUUGGGCUUCACGCAUGCUACAAUGGCCGGUACAAAGGGCUGCAAUACCGUGAGGUGGAGCGAAUCCCAAAAAGCCGGUCCCAGUUCGGAUUGAGGUCUGCAACUCGACCUCAUGAAGUCGGAGUCGCUAGUAAUCGCAGAUCAGCAACGCUGCGGUGAAUACGUUCCCGGGUCUUGUACACACCGCCCGUCAAGUCAUGAAAGUCGGU
rnacentral:rRNA from 1 species